GAUGAACGCUGGCGGCGUGCCUAAUACAUGCAAGUCGAGCGAACAGACGAGGAGCUUGCUCCUCUGACGUUAGCGGCGGACGGGUGAGUAACACGUGGAUAACCUACCUAUAAGACUGGGAUAACUUCGGGAAACCGGAGCUAAUACCGCAUAAUAUAUUGAACCGCAUGGUUCAAUAGUGAAAGAUGCUUUUGCUGUCACUUAUAGAUGGAUCCGCGCCGCAUUAGCUAGUUGGUAAGGUAACGGCUUACCAAGGCAACGAUGCGUAGCCGACCUGAGAGGGUGAUCGGCCACACUGGAACUGAGACACGGUCCAGACUCCUACGGGAGGCAGCAGUAGGGAAUCUUCCGCAAUGGGCGAAAGCCUGACGGAGCAACGCCGCGUGAGUGAUGAAGGUCUUCGGAUCGUAAAACUCUGUUAUUAGGGAAGAACAAAUGUGUAAGUAGCUAUGCACGUCUUGACGGUACCUAAUCAAAAAGCCACGGCUAACUACGUG
rnacentral:rRNA from 1 species